rnacentral:rRNA from 1 species
GGGAAUCUACCCAGAUCUACGGAACAACAGUUGGAAACGACUGCUAAUAUCGUAUACGCCCUACGGGGGAAAGAUUUAUCGGAUUUGGAUGAGCCCGCGUAAGAUUAGCUAGUUGGUGGGGUAAUGGCCUACCAAGGCGACGAUCUUUAGCUGGUCUGAGAGGAUGAUCAGCCACACUGGGACUGAGACACGGCCCAGACUCCUACGGGAGGCAGCAGUGGGGAAUAUUGGACAAUGGGCGCAAGCCUGAUCCAGCCAUGCCGCGUGAGUGAUGAAGGCCUUAGGGUUGUAAAGCUCUUUCACCGAUGAAGAUAAUGACGGUAGUCGGAGAAGAAGCCCCGGCUAACUUCGUGCCAGCAGCCGCGGUAAUACGAAGGGGGCUAGCGUUGUUCGGAUUUACUGGGCGUAAAGCGCACGUAGGCGGUUUGUUAAGUCAGGGGUGAAAUCCCAGAGCUCAACUCUGGAACUGCCUCUGAUACUGGCAAGCUAGAGUCCGGAAGAGGUAAGUGGAACUCCUAGU